rnacentral:ncRNA from 1 species
UCUCACGCGGGGGCUCUGACACGCGGCCCACACUCCGGCCGCCCGGACCGCGCCGAGCCACCGGCGAGACCGACCCGCGCAUGG